rnacentral:rRNA from 1 species
UAUUGGACAAUGGGGGAAACCCUGAUCCAGCCAUGCCGCGUGCGUGAAGAAGGCCUUUUGGUUGUAAAGCACUUUAAGCAGUGAAGAAGACUCUACGGUUAAUACACAUAGACGAUGACAUUAGCUGCAGAAUAAGCACCGGCUAACUCUGUGCCAGCAGCCGCGGUAAUACAGAGGGUGCAAGCGUUAAUCGGAAUUACUGGGCGUAAAGGGAGCGUAGGUGGCUCUAUAAGUCAGAUGUGAAAUCCCCGGGCUUAACCUGGGAACUGCAUCUGAUACUGUUAGGCUAGAAUAGGUGAGAGGAAGGUAGAAUUCCAGGUGUAGCGGUGAAAUGCGUAGAGAUCUGGAGGAAUACCGAUGGCGAAGGCAGCCUUCUGGCAUAAUACUAACACUGAGGCUCGAAAGCGUGGGUAGCAAACAG